rnacentral:tRNA from 1 species
GGAGAGAUGGCCGAGUUGGUCGAAGGCGCUCGCCUCGAAAGCGAGUAGGCAGGCAGCCCCUGCCUCGUGAGUUCGAAUCUCACUCUCUCCGCCA